GAUGAACGCUGGCGGCGUGCCUAAUACAUGCAAGUCGAGCGAACAGACGAGGAGCUUGCUCCUCUGACGUUAGCGGCGGACGGGUGAGUAACACGUGGAUAACCUACUUAUAAGACUGGGAUAAAUUCGGGAAACCGGAGCUAAUACCGGAUAAUAUAUUGAACCGCAUGGUUCAAUAGUGAAAGACGGUUUUGCUGUCACUUAUAGAUGGAUCCGCGCCGCAUUAGCUAGUUGGUAAGGUAACGGCUUACCAAGGCAACGAUGCGUAGCCGACCUGAGAGGGUGAUCGGCCACACUGGAACUGAGACACGGUCCAGACUCCUACGGGAGGCAGCAGUAGGGAAUCUUCCGCAAUGGGCGAAAGCUUGACGGAGCAACGCCGCGUGAGUGAUGAAGGUCUUCGGAUCGUAAAACUCUGUUAUUAGGGAAGAACAAAUGUGUAAGUAACUAUGCACGUCUUGACGGUACCUAAUCAGAAAGCCACGGCUAACUACGUG
rnacentral:rRNA from 1 species